rnacentral:rRNA from 1 species
UACGGAGGGAGCUAGCGUUGUUCGGAUAUACUGGGCGUAAAGCGCACGUAGGCGGCGUCGUAAGUCAGGGGUGAAAUCCCGGAGCUCAACUCCGGAAUUGCCCUUGAAACUGCAAUGCUAGAAUCUUGGAGAGGCGAGUGGAAUUCCGAGUGUAGAGGUGAAAUUCGUAGAUAUUCGGAAGAACACCAGUGGCGAAGGCGACUCGCUGGACAAGUAUUGACGCUGAGGUGCGAAAGCGUGGGGAGCAAACAGGG